CCUACGGGCGGCAGCAGAGAGGAAUAUUGGUCAAUGGACGAGAGUCUGAACCAGCCAAGUAGCGUGAAGGAUGACUGCCCUAUGGGUUGUAAACUUCUUUUAUAUGGGAAUAAAACGUUCCACGUGUGGGAUUUUGUAUGUACCAUAUGAAUAAGGAUCGGCUAACUCCGUGCCAGCAGCCGCGGUAAUACGGAGGAUCCGAGCGUUAUCCGGAUUUAUUGGGUUUAAAGGGAGCGUAGGUGGAUUGUUAAGUCAGUUGUGAAAGUUUGCGGCUCAACCGUAAAAUUGCAGUUGAAACUGGCAGUCUUGAGUACAGUAGAGGUGGGCGGAAUUCGUGGUGUAGCGGUGAAAUGCUUAGAUAUCACGAAGAACUCCGAUUGCGAAGGCAGUUCACUGGACUGCAACUGACACUGAGGCUCGAAAGUGUGGGUAUCAAACAGGAUUAGAUACCCGUGUAGUC
rnacentral:rRNA from 1 species